UCAGCUGGAAACGGCUGCUAAUACCCCAUAUGCCGCGAGGUGAAAUGAAUUUCGCCUGAGGAUGAGCUCGCGUCUGAUUAGCUAGUUGGUGUGGGUAAUGGCUCACCAAGGCAUCGAUCAGUAGCUGGUCUGAGAGGAUGAUCAGCCACACUGGGACUGAGACACGGCCCAGACUCCUACGGGAGGCAGCAGUGGGGAAUUUUCCGCAAUGGGCGAAAGCCUGACGGAGCAACGCCGCGUGAGGGACGAAGGCCUCUGGGCUGUAAACCUCUUUUAUCAAGGAAGAAGAUCUGACGGUACUUGAUAAAUAAGCCACGGCUAAUUCCGUGC
rnacentral:rRNA from 1 species